GCAGUCGUGGCCGAUUGGUUAAGGCGAUGGACCCAUUGGGGUCUCCCCGCACAGGUUCGAAUCCCGUUGACUGCG
rfam:Ixodes scapularis strain Wikel colony gcontig_1108379104622, whole genome shotgun sequence.